rnacentral:lncRNA from 1 species
UGAAAAGGGGGCUGCAACCCAUGGGGCCGGAUGCUUUGCCAAGAUCAAGGUGUUUCUGAUGGCAUUAACAUGUGCAUAUGUAUCCAAAUCGCUAUCAGGAACUUUCAUGAGUUCCAUGCUCACACAAAUAGAGAGACAAUUCGGUAUCCCCACAGCUAUAGUUGGAUUCAUCAAUGGGAGCUUUGAGAUAGAGUGUGUGAAAGAAGUGAAAUCACUAAUGUGGAUAUAUGUACUGGUAGGAAAUAUUAUACGUGGAAUUGGUGAAACUCCCAUCAUGCCCUUGGGUGUUUCCUACAUAGAAAACUUUGCCAAAUCUGAAAACUCUCCUUUAUACAUUGGAAUUCUAGAAACAGGAAAGAUGAUUGGCCCAAUAUUUGGGCUUUUGUUGGGAUCCUUCUGUGCAAGCAUUUAUGUAGACACAGGGUCUGUGAAUACAGAUGACCUGACCAUAACUCCCACAGAUAUACGCUGGGUUGGUGCUUGGUGGAUCGGCUUUUUGGUCUGUGCAGGAGUGAAUAUCCUGAUUAGCAUUCCCUUUUUCUUUUUUCCCAAAACACUCCCAAAGGAAGGAUUACAGGAAAAUGUGGAUGGAACUGAAAAUGCCAAAGAGGAGAAGCACAGAGAAAAGGCCAAGGAAGAAAAACGAGGAAUCACUAAAGAUUUCUUUCCGUUCCUGAAGAGCCUGUCCUGCAACCCGAUUUACAUGCUGUUCACCCUUAUAAGUGUGCUCCAGGUCAAUGCAUUUAACAUUUACUUUAGCUUCCUGCCUAAGUACCUUGAAAACCAAUAUGGAAAAUCCACUGCAGAGGUCAUCUUCCUCAUGG